UCCUCCUUAAAGUUUGAUCAUGGCUCAGAUUGAACGCUGGCGGCAGGCCUAACACAUGCAAGUCGAACGGUAACAGGAAGCAGCUUGCUGCUUCGCUGACGAGUGGCGGACGGGUGAGUAAUGUCUGGGAAACUGCCUGAUGGAGGGGGAUAACUACUGGAAACGGUAGCUAAUACCGCAUAACGUCGCAAGACCAAAGAGGGGGACCUUCGGGCCUCUUGCCAUCGGAUGUGCCCAGAUGGGAUUAGCUAGUAGGUGGGGUAACGGCUCACCUAGGCGACGAUCCCUAGCUGGUCUGAGAGGAUGACCAGCCACACUGGAACUGAGACACGGUCCAGACUCCUACGGGAGGCAGCAGUGGGGAAUAUUGCACAAUGGGCGCAAGCCUGAUGCAGCCAUGCCGCGUAGUAUGAAGAAGGCCUUCGGGUUGUAAAGUACUUUCAGCGGGGAGGAAGGCGAUAAGGUUAAUAACCUUGUCGAUUGACGUUACCCGCAGAAGAAGCACCGGCU
rnacentral:rRNA from 1 species